GACGAACGCUGGCGGCGUGCUUAACACAUGCAAGUCGAGCGGUAAGGCCCUUCGGGUACACGAGCGGCGAACGGGUGAGUAACACGUGGGUGACCUGCCCUUAGCUCUGGGAUAAGCCUGGGAAACUGGGUCUAAUACCGGAUAUGACCUCAUGACGCAUGUUGUGGGGUGGAAAGCCUUGUGCGGCUAGGGAUGGGCCCGCGGCCUAUCAGCUUGUUGGUGGGGUGAUGGCCACCAAGGCGACGACGGGUAGCCGGCCUGAGAGGGCGACCGGCCACACUGGGACUGAGACACGGCCCAGACUCCUACGGGAGGCAGCAGUGGGGAAUCUUGCGCAAUGGGCGAAAGCCUGACGCAGCGACGCCGCGUGAGGGAUGACGGCCU
rnacentral:rRNA from 1 species